GACGAACGCUGGCGGCGUGCUUAACACAUGCAAGUCAAGGAGAAGUUCUACUUCGGUGGAGCGGAUACUGGCGCACGGGUGAGUAACGCGUAUGUAAUCUACCCCAGGUCCGGGGAUAACACUUCCAACGAGGUGCUAAUACCCGAUGAAGCAGCGGCACCGCAUGGUGACAGUUGUUAAAGUUUCGAUGACCUGGGAUGAGCAUGCGUCCCAUUAGGUAGUUGGUGAGGUAACGGCUCACCAAGCCGGCGAUGGGUAGCUGGUCUGAGAGGAUGAUCAGCCACACUGGGACUGAGACACGGCCCAGACUCCUACGGGAGGCAG
rnacentral:rRNA from 1 species